GGAGGAUCCAAGCGUUAUCCGGAUUUAUUGGGUUUAAAGGGAGCGUAGGUUGACAUAUAAGUCAGCUGUGAAAGUUUACGGCUCAACCGUGAAAUUGCAGUUGAUACUGUAUGUCUUGAGUGUACAAGAGGUGGGCGGAAUUCGUGGUGUAGCGGUGAAAUGCUUAGAUAUCACGAAGAACUCCAAUUGCGAAGGCAGCUCACUGGGGUACAACUGACACUGAGGCUCGAAAGUGUGGGGGUAUCAAACAGGAUUAGAUACCCUGGUAGUCCACACAGUAAACGAUGAAUACUCGCUGUUUGCGAUAUACAGUAAGCGGCCAAGCGAAAGCAUUAAGUAUUCCACCUGGGAGUACGCCGGCAACGGUG
rnacentral:rRNA from 1 species